rnacentral:misc_RNA from 1 species
UUUCCGUAGGUGAACCUGCGGAAGGAUCAUUACCGAAUGACACCUGUACCUUCUUGUAGCAGACCGUCAUUGACCAGCUGACGGUGAAUGAAUGGUCUGUUACGCCCAACAUCAAACACGUCAUUGCAUGGUGGGGUGGUUGCGCCUCAAGUAUGGAAAUAUCAAUAUAACUUUCAACAACGGAUCUCUUGGCUCUC